UGCCCCGUCAGGCUUUUAUCCCCGUCCUCUCGUCUCUCGACGACGCCCACGCCUGCCUCGCCUCUGCACCGCCGCGGCGCCGCCGCGCUGAUGUCCGCCCCUGCGCCGCGCCUCCCCUGCCUCACGAGUCACGACAAACCAUGCCAACCUCCCGGUCCCGCACCCCCGCGCCGUGACCACCCGAUGCACGUCUCGGAACCCUAGCCGCGCUGCACGCGUCCGUGGCACGGACGUCGAGAAUCGCCGCCAUCCCUGUGCCCCAGCCCGCGUCGAAACCCGAGCGCCUCCCCUAUAAAGCCUCCACGCUGCAGUCAGCACCAAAGCCUAGACCUUCCCUUGGGCCUUCCCAAUCCGCCGGGAGCAACCAAGACGGAGGGAGACGCGGAAGAAGCACAGAGGAGAGGAGGAAGUAGGAUCUGGCGCCGCCGCUGAAGCCCGACGCCACCACUGUCGUCGUCAAGUCAAGGAGGAGCAGCCGACGGCAGGAAAGCCGAGGAGCACGUCGGGGAGAACGCCGCUUCGCCGAGCCUGCGCCCGUACCCCCUCCGUCGACGUAGCCGCGCAGCACAGCACCGCACCGAUCCUCCCGGCCUCGCCUCGUCACAGCGCCGCCUCUUCGUCCUCGAGCCGCUAGCCAUCUACUUCUAUAUAAGCUUGGCCAAGCAAGCAUUGUGUGGAACAUCUACGAUGACGCUUCCCCACGCCAGGGAUGCUAGGGCUCUGUUCGUGGUGGCCAUCACGAUCAUCAUGGUGGUGCUACUAUCACGUAGUGUUGUGCAAGAAAGCCACGCAAUAAGUGGUACAUUGAAAUGCAUCAAGAUGCCAAGCUGCACUACUGAAAAGUGCCAGCAGUUAUGUGUAUCACAGGGGCACGUCAACGGUAGGGCCUAUGAUUAUUAUUGCGCGCCGGGCGUUCCAGAGUGUUGUUGUGUAGACAUACAGUAAUAUAGUCAAUGGUUUGAGUGUUGACAGAUAAGCUUACAGUACUGCAGGCUCUAGCUCUACUGCUCUGUUUCUCCCAGUACAAUGUCUGAUACUUAUACUUCAAUCGGUCACUAAUAUGUUAGUUUGUUGUCCUUCUAAUUUGAUCUUGGUUCCA